CCCUAUCAUAAACACAGCCUCAUCGUGGCGAUAGGGUUUAUUAAUAUGUCAAAUAAAUCUUCCUAGUUUGCAUAUGAAGCUAAUGUGUU
rnacentral:ribozyme from 1 species